rnacentral:rRNA from 1 species
UACGUAGGGACCAAGCGUUGUUCGGAUUUACUGGGCGUAAAGGGCGCGUAGGCGGCAAUUCAAGUCAGCUGUGAAAUCUCCGGGCUUAACUCGGAACGGUCAGCUGAUACUGCUUUGCUAGAGUGCAGAAGGGGCAAUCGGAAUUCUUGGUGUAGCGGUGAAAUGCGUAGAUAUCAGGAGGAACACCAAUGGCGAAGGCAGCUCGCUGGGACGGUACUGACGCUGAGACGCGAAAGCGUGGGGAGCAAACAGG